AGGACGAACGCUGGCGGCGUGGAUUAGGCAUGCAAGUCGAACGGUAUAAACCUUUCGGGGUUUAGAGAGUGGCGAACGGGUGAGUAACACGUAGGUAAUCUACCCUCAAAACGGGGACAACCCAGGGAAACUUGGGCUAAUACCGGAUGAGAGUGCGAGAGAUUGCAUUUAAAAGGAUGGCGAAAGUUGUCGCUUAGGGAUGAGCCUGCGGUCUAUUAGUUAGUUGGUGAGGUAAGAGCUCACCAAGGCGAUGAUAGAUAGGCGGCCUUAACGGGUGGUCGCCCACACUGGGAUUGAGAUACGGCCCAGACUCCUACGGGAGGCAGCAGUCGAGAAUAGUCUACAAUGGCCGGAAGGCUGAUAGUGCGACGCCGCGUGAACGAGGGAGCCCUUCGGGGUGUAAAGUUCUUUUCUAUACGAGCAGUGCUAUAUAUAUGGAUAGUAUAUAUAGAGGGAUAGUAGUAUAGGAAUAAGCAACGGCUAACUCCGUG
rnacentral:rRNA from 1 species